rnacentral:lncRNA from 1 species
CUCCAGAAAAAUGAGCCUUCAGUGCACAAGGGAUUCCAGAGAAAAACUGUUCGCGCGCGCUCAUGCAGGCGACGCCGUCGCCAUCACCAAUAGUCUCGCGCUCGGACGCCCAUCGGAUACAGACGGAGGAGAGUGAGGCGCUGGACGAGCCUGUCUCUUGCCGUGCUGAAGACGCUGCGUCGGAAGACCGUCAGUUCCGGUUGGUGAAUCUGGCUGCUCUGACUCCGUCCAGCUGGCCGACGAGCGAGUGCCUACACAGCAGCUCGCUGGCGCCGCCGUUGCGCGCGCGCGUCCAGACGGCAGUCGGCCCGCGGGCCAGCCUCGCAGCAUCUGUAGUGGCCGUGCUGCGCGGAGGAAUGCAUCCGGGAGCUGCCGGAUGAGGCCGUCUGGAUCUGUUCGGACGGGCCGGCGGAGGAUGGUUUGGCGGCGGUGGCUCCCUGCUCCGCUUACCAGAUGGAGACGACUGGGUUAUACGGGUUCCAGCGGGCCGCUUCUGCUCCAGUGCGCGCGCGGAGCUCACCGCGCCCCCGCCCCGGUCCAAGCCGCUACCAGAUGGAGACGACUGGGACAUAUGGGUCCCGGCGGGCCGCUUCUGCUCCAGUGCGCGCGCGGAGCUCACGGCGCCCCCGCCCCGGUCCGAGCUGCUACCAGGGAGAAGGCUGUUACACUUAUCAGCGCUGGUCGGGCCACUGGGGAUGAUCGGGGCAGCAUCUCCACCGGAUUGAAAGAAGGCCAACGUCCGAGUGCGCCCAGUGCAGUCAGCAGUGACACCGAAUGUCCAACAGGCCGCUGCCUGGUCUGCGGCGAAGCAGCAGACAAUUAGGGGCACGUGUUGCUGGAGUGUCCGUGCUCUUACGGCCUCCGGCUCCGUGCGCGGGGAAACAUCGUCCGCGCGGCCCACGAUGUCGAACGCGACGACAUGGUGGCGAUCUUGGUCGCCGGCUACGAGGCCCACAAGAGCCUUUUUUGGCUACGGCGGCAGCUUUGGGGACACCACAACAGCUGACGGCGGCCGCGGCCCCAGAGAUGCGCACCUGCGGGCAGGGCGGCCGCUGAUCCACAUCUCAGCUGAUUAUACCGAACAGACGGAGGAGACUGAGGCGCUGGACAACGAGUCUGUCUCUGGCCGUACUGAAGACGCUGCGUCGGAAGACCGUCAGUUCUGGUUGGUGAAUCUGGCUGCCUCUGACUCCGUCCAGCUGGCCGACGAGUGCGUGCCAAGACAGCCGCUCGCUGCCGCCGCCGCCGCCGCGCGCGCGCCAAGACGGCCGUCUACCGGCGCCGAUGCCGCCACGCGCACGCUAGACGCCCGUCCACUGGUGCCACCGCUCCACGCGCGCGCACAGUCGGCAGCCGCCGCGUGUGCGUGCCCGCCCAGAAUAUGCGCUCUGCCGCCGUUGACUGCAGCUCGAGAUUCAUGUUCAAGGCUUAGGCAUACACUCAUGUUAAUUGUCUACAUUCAUGAAGGUGCGUGGUGACAAAGAUGCCUCGUCUGUGGCAGCGGAUUUGCUUGUUCCGCCUCAACAUGUGCAAAGUUGCUAUGUAAACUGAUGCGCUCGGCAUUCGCCGUCCGCUCGCGCUGGUGGCGCGCGAAUGAAUGACCUGGCCCGGUUCAUGCGGACCUGACGAGCGGCGGUAUGACGCAAUCACAUAGGCGGAUUACCUUUCACCGCGAAGAAAAUCAUUAUCAGCUGGCUUAAAAUUAUGCAAUUGUU